UGAGCCGACUGGGCGAUCGCGACUACAGGUACCGCCGUUUUCACAGCGUGCGGCCUGUGGUCGAGGAAAGUCCGGACUCCACAGAGCACGGUGAUUGUUAACAACAACCCAGGGUGACCUGCGGGCAAGUGCAACAGAAAGUAGACCGCCCAGAUUCUUCUGGGUAAGGGUGAAACGGUGCGGUAAGAGCGCACCAGCAGGCUAGGUGACUAGUCUGGCUGGGUAAACCCCACUGGGAGCAAGGCAUUAGGGCGUACCUUCGGGUAUGUCUGCACGGAUGUUUGAGGGCUGCUCGCCUGAGUCCGUGGGUAGCUGCUUGAGGCGGCCAGCGAUGGUACGUCCAGAUGGAUGAUCGCCGCCCCUUUGCUUGAAAAGGGGUACAGAAUCCGGCUUAUAGGUUGGCUCAUUCG
rnacentral:RNase_P_RNA from 2 species